UUAGGUGCGCCUUACUAAGAUGUACACACGCUCCAAAUUUCAGAUCAUUCUGAUUUGUAGAAAAAAUAUUAAAAUUCAAACACUCUCGGACAACCGUGAUAAUCAAAUCGGUCCAGAUUCGAUGUGGGCCGUUGGACGUUUACUACAGCUGUACGCACAUAGGCGUAUAUGAACUUUUUCUAUAUAUAUAUGGGAAAAGUUUAUAUAGAGCCGAUGCUCUAAACAAUCAAAUUUGAGCCUACUUCAAAUUUUCACUAAAAGAAGUAGUUUUGAUGCCAAAAUAUCUUCAAUUUGAUUAUCUCAACAUCAAAAUGCAUGGACAUGAGAAAAAAAAUAGAUUUCAAGUUUUUGAAAUAGUGCAUUUUAUAAAGCAUUUUUUGAACCGUCAAUUUUCAAGAUUUUCAAGUUUUCAU
rnacentral:lncRNA from 1 species